GGGGAAUAUUGGACAAUGGGCGCAAGCCUGAUCCAGCCAUGCCGCGUGAGUGAUGAAGGCCUUAGGGUUGUAAAGCUCUUUCACCCACGACGAUGAUGACGGUAGUGGGGGAAGAAGCCCCGGCUAACUUCGUGCCAGCAGCCGCGGUAAUACGAAGGGGGCUAGCGUUGUUCGGAAUUACUGGGCGUAAAGCGCACGCAGGCGGUCCGAUUAGUCAGAAGUGAAAGCCCCGGGCUUAACCUGGGAACUGCUUUUGAUACUGUCGGGCUUGAAUCACGGAGAGGGUAGUGGAAUUCCGAGUGUAGAGGUGAAAUUCGUAGAUAUUCGGAAGAACACCAGUGGCGAAGGCGACUACCUGGCCGUCGAUUGACGCUCAUGUGCGAAAGCGUGGGGAGCAAAC
rnacentral:rRNA from 1 species